rnacentral:rRNA from 1 species
UACAGAGGGGGCAAGCGUUAUUCGGAAUUACUGGGCGUAAAGCGUGCGCAGGCGGUGCACCAAGCUCGAUGUGAAAGCCCCGGGCUUAACCUGGGAAUUGCAUUGAGGACUGGUGUGCUCGAGUGCGGCAGAGGGGGGUGGAAUUCCACGUGUAGCAGUGAAAUGCGUAGGGAUGUGGAGGAACACCGAUGGCGAAGGCAGCCCCCUGGGCCGACACUGACGCUCAUGCACGAAAGCGUGGGGAGCAAACAGG